AGUUUCACACAAGCUAUCGCUGACUGCCGGUGCGUGUUUGAAGUGGGCCACAGGGGCUGGGCAUGAUAUGAGCUGCCUGGACAUUGGAGGAGGCUUCCCCGGAAUGGAGGGCUCCGGAUCCAAGUUUGAGGAGUUGAGAACAACAAGCAAUAACAACCAUACGAAGAAUCUAGCAAACUCUACUUUACUUCUCCUUUUCGUGGUCCUGGAAAGAAGAAGACUUUACUUCUCCUUUUCGUGGUCCUGGAAAGAAGAAGACUUUACUUCUCCUUUUCGUGGUCCUGGAAACAGCUCAGAAUAAAGUAGAUCUGGACCUCUACAGAAGAGAGGGAGCUCCGGAUUCCAGAUAGGGUUUCACUCUGUUGUCCAGGCUGGAGUGCAGUGGCUCAAUCACAGGUCACCAUAGCCUUGACCUCCUGGGGUUCAGGUGAUCCUCCCAUCUCAGCCUCCCGAGUAGCUGGGGCUACAGCACCUGCCAGGAGAACAGGCAGUGGCAGUGUGACCAAGAACCAUGCCUGGUGGAUCCAGACAUGAUCAAAGCCAUCAACCAGGGCAACUAUGGGUGAGAGGCCCUAGAAGCACCCUCAGUGGGCACACAUGCAUACUCAUGCAUGUAUACACGCAUGC
rnacentral:sRNA from 1 species